rnacentral:rRNA from 1 species
CCUACGGGUGGCAGCAGUGAGGAAUAUUGGUCAAUGGGCGCGAGCCUGAACCAGCCAAGUCGCGUGAGGGAAGACGGUCCUAUGGAUUGUAAACCUCUUUUGUCGGGGAGCAAAAGACGCCACGCGUGGCGUUCCGAGAGUACCCGAAGAAAAACCACCGGCUAACGCCGUGCCAGCAGCCGCGGUAACACGGAGGAUGCGAGCGUUAUCCGGAUUUAUUGGGUUUAAAGGGUGCGCAGGCGGAAGAUCAAGCCAGCGGUAAAAUUGAGGGGCGCAACCUCUUCGAGCCGUUGAAACUGGUUUUCUUGAGUGAGCGAGAAGUAUGCGGAAUGCGUGGUGUAGCGGUGAAAUGCAUAGAUAUCACGCAGAACUCCGAUUGCGAAGGCAGCUUACCAGGCUACUUCUGACGUUGAGGCACGAAAGCGUGGGGAGCAAACAGGAUUAGAUACCCGGGUAGUC